AUUGAACGCUGGCGGCAGGCCUAACACAUGCAAGUCGAACGAGUGGCGGACGGGUGAGUAAUGUCUGGGAAACUGCCUGAUGGAGGGGGAUAACUACUGGAAACAGUGGCUAAUACCGCAUACCAUCAGAUGUGCCCAGAUGGGAUUAGCUAGUUGGUGGGGUAACGGCUAACAAAGGCGACGAUCCCUAGCUGGUCUGAGAGGAUGACCAGCAAACUGGGAACUGAGACACGGUCCAGAUUCUGACGGUAGGCAGAGUGGGGGAAUAUUGCACAAUGGGCGAAAGCCUGAUGCAGACAUGCAGCGGGGAUGAAGAAGGCCUUCGGGUUGUAAAGUACUUUCAGCGGGGAGGCGUUACCCGCAGAAGAAGCACCGGCUAACUCCGUGCCAGCAGCCGCGGUAAUAC
rnacentral:rRNA from 1 species